AUACGUAGGUGGCAAGCGUUGUCCGGAUUUAUUGGGCGUAAAGCGAGCGCAGGCGGUUCUUUAAGUGUGAUGUGAAAGCCCCCGGCUCAACCGGGGAGGGUCAUUGGAAACUGGAGGACUUGAGUGCAGAAGAGGAGAGUGGAAUUCCAUGUGGAGGGGUGAAAUGCGUAGAUAUAUGGAGGAACACCAGUGGCGAAGGCGGCUCUCUGGUCUGUAACUGACGCUGAGGCUCGAAAGCGUGGGGAGCGAACAGGAUUAGAUACCCUGGUAGUCCACGCCGUAAACGAUGAGUGCUAAGUGUUGGAGGGUUUCCGCCCUUCAGUGCUGCAGCUAACGCAUUGAGCACUCCGCCUGGGGAGUACGGCCGCAAGGCUGAAACUCAAAUGAAUUGACGGGG
rnacentral:rRNA from 1 species